CCUGUGCUCAAAAGUGGGACUUUUGGAAGGGAAUUGAAUUAUGGGUGCAGGACAGCUGAUUGCUAUUAGAAGGUGCUCAGAGGAGGCAGGCACUGUGGGCGUGGCCCAGAAGGGUGUAGCACUCUUUCUGCUUCCUGUCUGCCAUUGCCGUAAGCAGCUCUCCCCCACCAUGCCCUUCUGCCAUACCAUCCUGCCUCGGAGCCGGAGGACCAUGCAAGGACUGAAACUACUAAAAUGUGAGCCAAAAUACACCUUUCCUCUUUUAAGUUGUGGGUGUCAGGUAUUAUAUCUCAGCGAUGAGGAGGCGACUAAGAUGUGGCCCAUCAUUAUCUAGGUUGAUCUGAGAACAAACCGCAGCACCUGAAAGCACAUGGCCAGCUGAUGGAUGUUUGGCUCUGAUGGGCCAUUUUACAAGAUGCCUUAGGAAGGCAGGGAGUUUCAUCGCGAGUCCUUCAAACUGGUGCUGAGCCACAAACCAGCCAAGAUUGUAGAAUGUGUCACAUUCAGAAAGCAUCAAGCCAAUGCCAGCCCAGGCUGUGCUUCCAGAUGAGCAAGGCCCUCCUUCUGGGUUUGGAUACUGACUGAAGUUUUGCUUUCACGGUGACUGACACCUUCAUAAGGAUUCUAUCAGAUAAAAUUCCAGGUUUUUAAUUGCCAAAAGCCCAAGACCUCAUCUCCUCACACCUUGGCCCCCGACAGAGAAAUCCAAAGCAGAAGCUCUUUUUUUUAGAAAAAAAUUGAACUGACACAUAACAAUUGCAGGCAUUUGUGGUGUGAAUCACAGUGUGAUCGUUCAAUACAUAUGUACAGUGUGUAAAGAUCAGACCAGGUGGAGUUCUUAGCGCCUGCAGAGCAGAGAUUUGUAAAUGGUCUCACUGAGCAUUGGCCACAGAUGGGCAAGGUAAAAUGGUACAAAUCCCCCUUUUCCCCAAACCCCACCUCGUCUAUGAACACAGAUAGUGGACCCUGAGCAUAGAAGAUAAGAAGAUGAGGAGGAAAACUACCAAACAUAAACUCCAUCAAUCACUAACCUCACUUCCAGGUGGGGAAUACUUUGCUAUGUUGUUUUCUGAAGCAGUACUCACCUCAGUGGAAUUUUUACCAAAUUUCCUUAGGUAACCACUUGAAAUUGACUCCCUUUAACCAAAGACUUAGCCUUCGAGUAAACAAAAUAUACAGUUAGACACAUUCAUGUUUAUAACUCUUAUGUUUGCUGUCUUAGUCCUUUCGGCUUUCAAUAGCAAAAUACCACAGACUGGCUAGUUUAUAAUAGCAGAAAUUUAUUUCUCGCAGUUCUGGAGGCUGGGAUGUCCAAGAUUAAGGCAGAAUUGGUGUCUCAUAAACACCCGCUUUCUUGUUUGUAGCAGCAUCUUCUUGCCGGGGUCUCUUUUAUAAGGGCACUAGUUCCAGUCAUGAGAACACUGCCCUCAAGACCAAGUCACCUCCUAAAGGACCCAUUUCUAAUGCCAUCACAUUAAAGGGUAGGAUUUCGACAUAUGAAGCAGGGGCAAACCUUGAGACCACAGCAUUUGUCUAGUCUAAAAAGUUAGGGUCUCUCUCCGUUGCCCAAGCUAGUCUCAAACUCUUGAGCUCAAGGGAUCCUCAGCUUCCAGAGCAGCACGGUAGCACAUACUACCAUGACCAGCUUCUAGUCUUGAUCCUAACCUUCAAGAAGAGAACACACGCAAGUCAAACAUUUGACUACUCACAACCAAAUUACUACUUGAAAACUAAUCCUAGUCAAGUUACUUAUCAGAUGUAUCAAAACAUCCGAAGUUACAUGGUCUGCGGGUAAUUUAUCUUCAAGUAUAUACUUAUAAGGCAAAUUCUGGGUCUCAGAUUGAUUUUUGAAAUUUAAGAAAAAGACGUUUCAAAGUAAAUAAGAAUAUCAUAAGAUGUGUACCCUUAACAAAAGCGAAUUUCUUAACUUUUCCUGUUUUGGAUCACCUGAACUAAUCUGAAAUGAGGAAAGGCCCCAAGUGAUUUAUUUUCCAU
ensembl:lncRNA